rnacentral:pre_miRNA from 9 species
UAUGAAUAUUCUCGAACAUUGUGAGAAUUUGUAUGGAGUUGGAACGUUUGCCUACGUUUGCCGCUAGGGGCGCUGUUCCAACUCCAUACAAAUUUGAGUUAACUUUUACGCUAUCGA